rnacentral:rRNA from 1 species
GACGUAGGGCGCGAGCGUUGUCCGGAUUUAUUGGGCGUAAAGAGCUCGUAGGCGGCUUGUCGCGUCGACUGUGAAAUCCCGCGGCUCAACUGCGGGUCUGCAGUCGAUACGGGCAGGCUAGAGUUCGGUAGGGGAGACUGGAAUUCCUGGUGUAGCGGUGAAAUGCGCAGAUAUCAGGAGGAACACCGGUGGCGAAGGCGGCAUCCUGGUCAGAUAUUGACGCUGAGGUGCGAAAGCGUGGGGAGCAAACAGG